GGUAUUGUACUUUAUAUAUAGAAGAAAUGAUUUGCAAUCAUAUAGAAAGAACUUAUCUUCAAUACCA
rnacentral:tRNA from 1 species